AAAGGGACGGUCGAUCGCAAACAGAAAGUGACCCUCAUUGGCCGCCGACGACACUCCGCCACAUCCUCCAUCACGCUCGACUUCAAAUAAUGGCGCCACCGCCUCUCAAUAGCAGAGUCCAGUUUGCUCGAACCGCAAUCAACAUCAUGUGACUCACAUCCAGGAUCCGUCAUACAUGCUCACACAUUCCUCAUUUUUGGCGCUUCACUGCGUUUUAUGGCAUUAGAGCAACGCUUCCGAUCCAACAUCGACACCGUAUCUCGUUCACGUUCAACCUUAAGCUCACCGAUUUGGAAUCGCCACGUUCUUCAUAACGAAGUAUCGCGUUUUCCCUCUUCGCUUGUCAUUCACCAUGUUUAUUCAUCAUCGUCGCGAUUCACGGAUUCAGAAAUUUAUCGAAUCGGUUCACUCUUCUACGCACACGAACAGAAGAAGAAAAUGAAGAACAUCGAAUCAAAAAGUCACCAGGUACCGCACUUCUGUUUAGUUUCUGCUUGAUUUUCCUUGAAUCGUUCAUUCUGAUCUUCCUUUCUUCGUUUUAAUGCCUUGCUAUUGUGUUCUUGCCUGUGUACUGGAGAUGAAAUCGGAGAGUGUGAGGGCAUUCGAGACGUUGACAUGAAGUGUCCAGCAAGCUUUUUGCAGGGAGAUGGAAACGUAUGAUUGUUGCGUUUCUUCUCUCUGAUGCACGUUUUGUGAACAGAAAAGAAGAAUGAGAGUCAAUGAAGAGUGUUGUUGAGAGUGGCGUGAAAAUGGAGAAUGAAAAUCGUAGUUGCGUGAUGAAGAGGAGAGUGAAGACUGGAGAAAAGAAGAUUGGAGGGAAGAGAAGAAGUACUGAAGAAUGGUGAAGUGAAGAAUGGGAGAAGAAUGAUUCUGAACUGAAAAUGAAAAUGAUGGAGCAAGGGGUAAUGAUACUUGAAGACGUUUAAUGCUGCUAUUUACCUGUUGUUCGUGUCGGCGUUUGAUUGAGUUGGUUUACGCAUUGCCAAGAUUUGUUGUCUAAACGGUCCGGGGCUCGACCUACUGCUGUUAUUUGAUUGAUUAAAUGUGGUUUGGUUAAAGGUGAUGCUCAUUGGUUGUUAUAAUGGCGGAGUUAGCAUGUAAACUAAGACUGGUUUUCUGUUAAGGUAGCUUUAUGGAAGGGAAAUAAAACUUGGUCUUUGAAUGACAAUGGCAUGAAGAUGGUGGAUGUCUUGGAAAUUAUUUUAGCAUCUUAGGACUUACUUGAAUUUAGUAUUCCUAGUUUAAUUUUGUGACUCUUGAGCUGGAUUGGCAUUAUUUUGAAUGUAUGGUUUAUGUAUUGGCAUAAAGUGUUGUAACUUGUAAUGCAAUUUGUGGUUUACGAAAAUCAAAUACAUUUAUCAAAUGCAAAUGUAUUUGGAAUUAUAAUGGAAUUAAAGUUGUAAUACGAUGCACUUAUUGAAUGGAAAUAGAAUUUAGAAGUGUAA